rnacentral:misc_RNA from 1 species
AAACCGAUAGGCCCGCAUGGGUCUGUGUUGGGCGUCGUCCUCGGGCGUCGCCUCGAAUCGAUCGGUCGAGCGGGACGGACGUGAUCCUAUAGGACUGACCGUCUCGGGACCCUAAAUCUCAG